rnacentral:lncRNA from 1 species
CCUUAUUAUACAUACUUCUAAUUUACGUAAUUUGUAUAAAUAGACUUUAGAUGUACAGACCUUCAGUAAUGACGACACAGAACGUUGUGCAUGUAGACAUGACAAGAGAGUAUUUAGACUGCUGCUGAUUCCAAAUUAGUGACAUAAACUGACACAGGGGAGCACACUGCAGACCUACAUAUUCCUGUGGGUUCAUUUUCCACUGUGAUGGCACCAGCCAUAUGGAGCCCUCAUGAGUCACAGGUUAUGUUAGAAAGAGCAAAUGUCUGGAAGAGCAGUUCUCCUUAAAGUGAGGUGCACUCCAAGAUUGUGAUUAGUGACGCUUUAGUAUGGUAUUUUUGUGUUGCUUUGCUAGAUUACUAUGGUCUGGUAUAUUUCAGGUCACACACGUUGUUCUGAAGAUGCUUUAAUGUUCUCCACGUGUAGUUGAUGGACGACUGAAGAUUAUCCUUGGAAUCGAGCAUCUCUUCCUAGCUUCCAUUUCCCACCAGCUCUUGCACCUGCCUGCCAUUUCCUGAAUGCCAGUGUGACUAAUGAAUGCCAGAGGCAGCAGAUGGGAAGGGUUUUAGGAUAGCUGACCUGACUUUGACGUGGCCAUCUCCAAAGCAUUUUUCUGACUGAGAGCCAGUGAGUAAAAUCUUUGCAGUUUCCAUUAGAAAUAGUUUUGCUAUAAGCAUCAUAUAAUAUUGGAAGUU